CUGGAGAAAAAGAAGUUUAUCGGGGAAAAUGGAAACUUAACUCAAGGCUUUCUGGAGGAAUGAAACUGAGGCCUGUGGGAACUGCACUGCAGGCCAUCUCUCACACUCAGACAGAGUGCAGGAGAGAGAUAGGAGUGUAGCAGGGAGGUAAGAAUGUAGCAGGAAGAUACUAAUGGGAAACUUCACUGUGAGCCACCCCUCACAAAUACUUAGCAGUUCUCUAUUUCGUUAAAGGUUAAUGUCUCUCCCCGACCCCCACCCCAUGGCAUUAUACUCAGUUUUGAUGGGAAUUCUAGUUGAAUUUGUACCCAAGCUAUGUUUUUCUUUGAAUUUUACUUGAAGGGAAGAUUCUGGAAAGAUAGCCAACUUCCCCUCUGCCUUGGAUCGUCUUUCAUCUUCUUGUCACUGAGACCACAAAUAGUGUCAAUGUACUGCUCCUGAAUCAUGAAAGUGACUGGCAUGGUUGCGCAGUUGGCAAGGAAGAUGACAGAAAAGGAGUCCCAGAUUCUGGGGGUGUUCUCCUGAACAAGAAUAUGGUGUCAGAAGUGGGCUUCCCUCAUAAUCACCCAAAUAAACCUGAAGGCUCUCCAAGACCAUGGAAACUGAGCAAGUCUCUACAAUUCUAGGAUUGAGAAUGAGUGGGACUGACCAAAAGAGGAUCACAGUGAACAAAGCUAGAACCUGCAGUUCAGGACCACACUCACGCUCCACCAGGGUGUCUUCCAGUCUAGGCAUCCCCUGUCCUUGCCCCAUCUCUGACUGGAUCCCAACUCCAAUAGCUUAAGUUGGUGGAGAAGUUGUGGCCCUCACCCUAGGGUUGCUGGCCACAGUCACCUACUACGUGCACUCACCCCAGAGAGAAGGGGCGCUUUGCCCCCUUGCCACCGACUCCUCACAGAGACACGCUACCUCCGGACACCCUGUCAAAGAGGGGCUCCCUAAGGCUCCAGGGAGGCACUGUGGGAGCCAAGCUCAGAUGCUCCUGAGCCACCACCAGACCUGCUGGGCCCUCGCCAGGACUCCACACUACUGACCCUUGUUUCCCUCAGUACUUGGCACCUGGGGCUAAGCCCCGCUUCUGCUCCCAGAGUCAGCCCGGAGUCAGCUGGAAGGCAGCGUUGGAUCGCUUGGGCUCCUCAAGCCACUUUGCAUGCAGCCUUAACGCGGAUGCUCCGAUCUCUUCAGUCCACCUCCUUGCUCUCUCCCCAACCUCUCUCUGGGCAGGGAAACGACCGGGAAGGGGAAUCAGGGGGAAAAGGACGUGGCGGGCCAGGACUCCUGGCUUCUCUUCUGCGCUUUGGACCUCUUCUUCAUUCCUAGAAUACACACCAUUCCCCAGGCUCUCGGAGUGACCCCCCAGCUUCAAAGGGGGCUUGGAAACCCACGUGGAAAGCACGAUCAAUGACGGCAAAGGGCUGAAGGAGCCCCAGCCAGGAGGAGGGGUGCCCUCCACGGACAGAAAGGUUGCACAGCAAGCCCUUGGGAACAGGGAGGGGGAAAGGACAGCUCCCAGCUCUGCCUUUUCUCUUGCUUCUCCUCCUCCUCUGAAACCCAGCGUUAACAGCCUGGGAGAAGCCAAUGAAAGCCUGAGGGAGAUGGGGCUGACCGGUGCUCCUUGGCCUCCUUUACUGAAAGGGCCCCUCACCUGGAGCCCCUGAAAACUCGGAGGGGAAAACAUUUACAUCUUCAUUUUCAUGAGCUUCUAACUGAAAUCUAGCAUGACUUUCCAUUAUUUAAAAAUGUUCUGAGAAGAGGUCCCUACCCGUCACUUACCAUGCCAGAGGGGCCUAUGCCACCAAAAAAAAAAAAACUAUCUGUUUGGAGACAAGGGCAAAAAAUUGAGAGCAGCAAAGAAUUUCAGGGAGGGGGGCCUGGGUUCCCCAUUGGGCCCAGACUCAGGGACUGGCAGGGAUCGCCAAGCUAAGUGAGGAGGUAGAUCUCUCUUAGGGGAGACACACCACCACCUAGUGGCCAUGCAGGGUCAAGGGCUGUUGAGAGGGUAACCCUGGGCAGGAUCCAAAGAAAGAACCCAUCUCACUCAAGCAGUUCUUUAUUUCUACUGUCAACCUAUGAAGCUUACCCCUCAAAACAGAGUUUGGGGAAUCACAGGGGCUUCUCCUGUGAUUUAGAUGUUUCCCUCAUUAACUGCUGAGGGAUGAUUACAACAUGAUGAAGCGAUUACAACAGUCUUCCUUCCUUUCAAUUCCUACCCCCACAACUACUCUAUUCACUGUUGCCAGAUUAGUGUUCCUAAUGUAUAGAUCUGAUAAUGUCACUCUGAAGCUUCGAUUGCCCCACCACUGCCUACAGAAUUGAGUUCAAAGUCCCGGAUUCUGGCACUCCUUACCCUCCCCCAUCUGGCUCCUGCCCACUUCUCCAACCUUUUCACCUGUAUGUGAAUCUCCUUCUACAAAGUGGCCUACUAAUGGGCUUCCCACAAAACACACAACAUGAAGUAGCAUAUCCAGAUCUCAGCUGAGUGACCUUCAGACAAGACACGUCACCUCUCUCUCAGGGCCUCAGUUUCCUCAUCUGAUGGAAUGGAUGAUUUCUGAAGCCUCUUCCAGCUCUGAUUUUCUAUGACCCUAGGUCACCUAUACGUUCCCCCAGCCAAGAAUGCCCUCCCAAACUUCACUUAUCUAAGUCCUGUCUAUAUUUCAAGGUCCACGUUAAGCUCCGUCUUCUCUGCACGGUCCUCCCAGGUCAUCCCAGCCCCUAGUAAUCUCUCUCUCCUUUCUCUGAAUUCCAUUAACUGUCCAUUCCACUCAUCUGACAUUUAAUACAUUCUGCCUUGAUCCAUUAUUAUCUUUUUCAGUUACUAGGGAGAACUAACCUAUAAAAAGAAUUUUAAUUUUUCAUCCGUGCCUUUCAUUUAUAACAUAUCCCAUCUUUCCUAUCAUUCUGAGCUCCACAAAGCUUGAUCUGUCUCUUCUUUCUUCAUUACAGUGCCUGGGCACGCAGUACUCAUAGCCUGUAAUACCAACUUGGUGACAUAUUGUAUUUGCUAAAGAUCGCAAAAUAAAGUACUUUGGAGAGAUGCUUUUCUGUUUCA